rnacentral:rRNA from 1 species
AUUGAACGCUGGCGGCAGGCCUAACACAUGCAAGUCGAACGAGUGGCGGACGGGUGAGUAAUGUCUGGGAAACUGCCCGAUGGAGGGGGAUAACUACUGGAAACGGUAGCUAAUACCGCAUACCAUCGGAUGUGCCCAGAUGGGAUUAGCUAGUAGGUGGGGUAACGGCUCACCUAGGCGACGAUCCCUAGCUGGGCUGUGAGGAUGACCAGCCACUCUGGAACUGUGACACGGCCCAUAUGCCUACUGGAGGCAGCAGUGGGGAAUAUUGCACAAGGGGUGCAAGCCUGAUGCAGCCUGGCCGCGUGUAUGAAGAAGGCCUUCGGGUUGUAAAGUACUUUCAGCGAGGAGGCGUUACUCGCAGAAGAAGCACCGGCUAACUCCGUGCCAGCAGCCGCGGUAAUU